AAGUCGUAACAAGGUUUCCGUAGGUGAACCUGCGGAAGGAUCAUUAAUACAAAGUGUGGUUUUUUCACAAAACUACAUAAACCCAAAAUGUCGAACUGUAUCGGAAACGUUGGGGUUUUUUUGGCUAAGUUUCCCUGACGUUUCUUUGUUUUUAUUCAAAAUUUAGCUAUUUUCUUUAACCCAAUUUCACCACGAUAUUCAUUUGUAUGAACUUAAAUGUUUUUUGAUCCGAAAGGAUUGAAAAAAAUCAUACGAAACUUAAGAACAACUCUUAACAACGGAUAUCUUGGCUCUCUUACCGAUGAAGAACGCAGC
rnacentral:misc_RNA from 1 species